UGGGGAAUAUUGGACAAUGGGCGAAAGCCUGAUCCAGCAAUGCCGCGUGUGUGAAGAAGGCCUUCGGGUUGUAAAGCACUUUUAUCAGGAACGAAAUCGGCAAGGUUAAUAACCGUGUCGUCUGACGGUACCUGAGGAAUAAGCACCGGCUAACUUCGUGCCAGCAGCCGCGGUAAUACGAAGGGUGCAAGCGUUAAUCGGAAUUACUGGGCGUAAAGGGUGCGUAGGCGGUUAGUUAAGUCUGUUGUGAAAUCCCCGGGCUCAACCUGGGAAUGGCAAUGGAUACUGGCUGGCUAGAGUGUGUCAGAGGAUGGUGGAAUUCCCGGUGUAGCGGUGAAAUGCGUAGAGAUCGGGAGGAACAUCAGUGGCGAAGGCGGCCAUCUGGGACAACACUGACGCUGAAGCACGAAAGCGUGGGGAGCAAAC
rnacentral:rRNA from 1 species